UGAAGAAGAUUGACAAGAGAAGACGUAAGAAGAAGAAGCGU
rnacentral:sRNA from 1 species